CACGUAAGGGGCGAGCGCUGUUCGGCAUUAUUGGGCGGAAAGGGCGCGUAGGCGGUCCUGUAAGCCCGGCGUGAAAACCUGGAGCUCAACUCCGGGCCUGCGCUGGGAACUGCGGGACUAGAGUCAUGGAAGGGAAGUUGGAAUUCCAGGUGUAGGGGUGAAAUCUGUAGAUAUCUGGAAGAACACCGGUGGCGAAGGCGAACUUCUGGCCAAUGACUGACGCUGAGGCGCGAAAGUGCGGGGAGCAAACAGG
rnacentral:rRNA from 1 species